rnacentral:rRNA from 1 species
UGCAGUCGANGCGAAAGUAGCCUUCGGGCUGCAAGUAGAGUGGCAAACGGGUGAGUAACGCGUGGGUGACCUAUCUUCGAGUGGGGGAUAACGUUUCGAAAGGAACGCUAAUACCGCAUAACAUCCCGCCUUUGGAAAGGUGGUGAUCAAAGCCGGGGAUCGCAAGACCUGGCGCUUGAUGAGGGGCCCGCGUCCGAUUAGCUUGUUGGUGGGGUAACGGCUCACCAAGGCGACAAUCGGUAGCCGGCCUGAGAGGGCGGACGGCCACACUGGGACUGAGACACGGCCCAGACUCCUACGGGAGGCAGCAGUGGGGAAUUGUUCGCAAUGGGCGAAAGCCUGACGACGCAACGCCGCGUGGAGGACGAAAACCUUCGGGUCGUAAACUCCUGUCGAGUGGGACGAAUACUACCUGGGUUAAUACCUCAGGUGGCUGACGGUACCACUAAAGGAAGCCCCGGCUAACUCCGUGCCAGCAGCCGCGGUAAUACGGGGGGGGCAAGCGUUGUUCGGAUUUACUGGGCGUAAAGAGCUCGUAGGCGGCUUGCUUAGUCGAACGUGAAAUCCCUUGGCUCAACUGAGGAACUGCGUCCGAUACUGGCAGGCUUGAAUCCGGGAGAGGGAUGCGGAAUUCCAGGUGUAGCGGUGAAAUGCGUAGAUAUCUGGAGGAACACCGGUGGCGAAGGCGGCAUCCUGGACCGGUAUUGACGCUGAGGAGCGAAAGCCAGGGUAGCAAACGGGAUUAGAUACCCCGGUAGUCCUGGCCCUAAACGAUGAAUGCUUGGUGUGGCGGGUAUCGNUCCCUGCUGUG